GACGAACGCUGGCGGCGUGCUUAACACAUGCAAGUCGAACGGUAAGGCCCUUCGGGGUACACGAGUGGCGAACGGGUGAGUAACACGUGGGUGAUCUGCCCUGCACUUCGGGAUAAGCCUGGGAAACUGGGUCUAAUACCGGCUAGGACUCCUGGCUUCAUGGUUGGGGGUGGAAAGCUUUUGCGGUGUGGGAUGGGCCCGCGGCCUAUCAGCUUGUUGGUGGGGUAAUGGCCUACCAAGGCGACGCCGGGUAGCCGGCCUGAGAGGGUGACCGGUCACACUGGGACUGAGAUACGGCCCAGACUCCUACGGGAGGCAGCAGUGGGGAAUAUUGCACAAUGGGCGCAAGCCUGAUGCAGCGACGCCGCGUGAGGGAUGACGGCCUUCGGGUUGUAAACCUCUUUCAGCUAUGACGAAGCGCAAGUGACGGUAGUAGCAGAAGAAGGACCGGCCAACUACGUGCCAGCAGCCGCGGUAA
rnacentral:rRNA from 1 species